UAAGUCCAACAUAGCGUA
rnacentral:siRNA from 1 species